rnacentral:rRNA from 1 species
GGGUUGUGAGGUUAAGCGACUAAGCGUACACGGUGGAUGCCCUGGCAGUCAGAGGCGAUGAAGGACGUGCUAAUCUGCGAUAAGCGUCGGUAAGGUGAUAUGAACCGUUAUAACCGGCGAUUUCCGAAUGGGGAAACCCAGUGUGUUUCGACACACUAUCAUUAACUGAAUCCAUAGGUUAAUGAGGCGAACCGGGGGAACUGAAACAUCUAAGUACCCCGAGGAAAAGAAAUCAACCGAGAUUCCCCCAGUAGCGGCGAGCGAACGGGGAGCAGCCCAGAGCCUGAAUCAGUGUGUGUGUUAGUGGAAGCGUCUGGAAAGGCGCGCGAUACAGGGUGACAGCCCCGUACACAAAAAUGCACAUGCUGUGAGCUCGAUGAGUAGGGCGGGACACGUGGUAUCCUGUCUGAAUAUGGGGGGACCAUCCUCCAAGGCUAAAUACUCCUGACUGACCGAUAGUGAACCAGUACCGUGAGGGAAAGGCGAAAAGAACCCCGGCGAGGGGAGUGAAAAAGAACCUGAAACCGUGUACGUACAAGCAGUGGGAGCACGCUUAGGCGUGUGACUGCGUACCUUUUGUAUAAUGGGUCAGCGACUUAUAUUCUGUAGCAAGGUUAACCGAAUAGGGGAGCCGAAGGGAAACCGAGUCUUAACUGGGCGUUAAGUUGCAGGGUAUAGACCCGAAACCCGGUGAUCUAGCCAUGGGCAGGUUGAAGGUUGGGUAACACUAACUGGAGGACCGAACCGACUAAUGUUGAAAAAUUAGCGGAUGACUUGUGGCUGGGGGUGAAAGGCCAAUCAAACCGGGAGAUAGCUGGUUCUCCCCGAAAGCUAUUUAGGUAGCGCCUCGUGAAUUCAUCUCCGGGGGUAGAGCACUGUUUCGGCAAGGGGGUCAUCCCGACUUACCAACCCGAUGCAAACUGCGAAUACCGGAGAAUGUUAUCACGGGAGACACACGGCGGGUGCUAACGUCCGUCGUGAAGAGGGAAACAACCCAGACCGCCAGCUAAGGUCCCAAAGUCAUGGUUAAGUGGGAAACGAUGUGGGAAGGCCCAGACAGCCAGGAUGUUGGCUUAGAAGCAGCCAUCAUUUAAAGAAAGCGUAAUAGCUCACUGGUCGAGUCGGCCUGCGCGGAAGAUGUAACGGGGCUAAACCAUGCACCGAAGCUGCGGCAGCGACACUAUGUGUUGUUGGGUAGGGGAGCGUUCUGUAAGCCUGUGAAGGUGUGCUGUGAGGCAUGCUGGAGGUAUCAGAAGUGCGAAUGCUGACAUAAGUAACGAUAAAGCGGGUGAAAAGCCCGCUCGCCGGAAGACCAAGGGUUCCUGUCCAACGUUAAUCGGGGCAGGGUGAGUCGACCCCUAAGGCGAGGCCGAAAGGCGUAGUCGAUGGGAAACAGGUUAAUAUUCCUGUACUUGGUGUUACUGCGAAGGGGGGACGGAGAAGGCUAUGUUGGCCGGGCGACGGUUGUCCCGGUUUAAGCGUGUAGGCUGGUUUUCCAGGCAAAUCCGGAAAAUCAAGGCUGAGGCGUGAUGACGAGGCACUACGGUGCUGAAGCAACAAAUGCCCUGCUUCCAGGAAAAGCCUCUAAGCAUCAGGUAACAUCAAAUCGUACCCCAAACCGACACAGGUGGUCAGGUAGAGAAUACCAAGGCGCUUGAGAGAACUCGGGUGAAGGAACUAGGCAAAAUGGUGCCGUAACUUCGGGAGAAGGCACGCUGAUAUGUAGGUGAAGCGACUUGCUCGUGGAGCUGAAAUCAGUCGAAGAUACCAGCUGGCUGCAACUGUUUAUUAAAAACACAGCACUGUGCAAACACGAAAGUGGACGUAUACGGUGUGACGCCUGCCCGGUGCCGGAAGGUUAAUUGAUGGGGUUAGCCGCAAGGCGAAGCUCUUGAUCGAAGCCCCGGUAAACGGCGGCCGUAACUAUAACGGUCCUAAGGUAGCGAAAUUCCUUGUCGGGUAAGUUCCGACCUGCACGAAUGGCGUAAUGAUGGCCAGGCUGUCUCCACCCGAGACUCAGUGAAAUUGAACUCGCUGUGAAGAUGCAGUGUACCCGCGGCAAGACGGAAAGACCCCGUGAACCUUUACUAUAGCUUGACACUGAACAUUGAGCCUUGAUGUGUAGGAUAGGUGGGAGGCUUAGAAGUGUGGACGCCAGUCUGCAUGGAGCCGACCUUGAAAUACCACCCUUUAAUGUUUGAUGUUCUAACGUUGACCCGUAAUCCGGGUUGCGGACAGUGUCUGGUGGGUAGUUUGACUGGGGCGGUCUCCUCCUAAAGAGUAACGGAGGAGCACGAAGGUUGGCUAAUCCUGGUCGGACAUCAGGAGGUUAGUGCAAUGGCAUAAGCCAGCUUGACUGCGAGCGUGACGGCGCGAGCAGGUGCGAAAGCAGGUCAUAGUGAUCCGGUGGUUCUGAAUGGAAGGGCCAUCGCUCAACGGAUAAAAGGUACUCCGGGGAUAACAGGCUGAUACCGCCCAAGAGUUCAUAUCGACGGCGGUGUUUGGCACCUCGAUGUCGGCUCAUCACAUCCUGGGGCUGAAGUAGGUCCCAAGGGUAUGGCUGUUCGCCAUUUAAAGUGGUACGCGAGCUGGGUUUAGAACGUCGUGAGACAGUUCGGUCCCUAUCUGCCGUGGGCGCUGGAGAACUGAGGGGGGCUGCUCCUAGUACGAGAGGACCGGAGUGGACGCAUCACUGGUGUUCGGGUUGUCAUGCCAAUGGCACUGCCCGGUAGCUAAAUGCGGAAGAGAUAAGUGCUGAAAGCAUCUAAGCACGAAACUUGCCCCGAGAUGAGUUCUCCCUGACCCUUUAAGGGUCCUGAAGGAACGUUGAAGACGACGACGUUGAUAGGCCGGGUGUGUAAGCGCAGCGAUGCGUUGAGCUAACCGGUACUAAUGAACCGUGAGGCUUAACCUUACAACGCCGAAGCUGUU